rnacentral:misc_RNA from 1 species
UCGUAACAAGGUUUCCGUAGGUGAACCUGCGGAAGGAUCAUUAAAAUAAUACUUACACUUUGCAUUUGCGAACAAAAAAAUAAAUCUUUUAUUCGAAUUUCUUAAUAUCAAAACUUUCAACAACGGAUCUCUUGGUUCUCGCAUCGAUGAAGAACGCAGCGAAUUGCGAUACGUAGUAUGACUUGCAGACGUGAAUCAUCGAAUCUUUGAACGCACAUUGCGCCUCGAGGCAUUCCUCGAGGCAUGCCUGUUUGAGCGUCGCAUCCCCUCUAACCCCCGGUUAGGCGUUGCUCCGAAAUAUCAACCGCGCUGUCAAACACGUUUACAGCACGACAUUUCGCCCUCAAAUCAGGUAGGACUACCCGCUGAACUUAAGCAUAUCAAUAA